rnacentral:rRNA from 2 species
UCUGACGGAGCAACGCCGCGUGAGUGAUGAAGGCUUUCGGGUCGUAAAACUCUGUUGUUAGGGAAGAACAAGUACAAGAGUAACUGCUUGUACCUUGACGGUACCUAACCAGAAAGCCACGGCUAACUACGUGCCAGCAGCCGCGGUAAUACGUAGGUGGCAAGCGUUAUCCGGAAUUAUUGGGCGUAAAGCGCGCGCAGGCGGUUUCUUAAGUCUGAUGUGAAAGCCCACGGCUCAACCGUGGAGGGUCAUUGGAAACUGGGGAACUUGAGUGCAGAAGAGAAAAGCGGAAUUCCACGUGUAGCGGUGAAAUGCGUAGAGAUGUGGAGGAACACCAGUGGCGAAGGCGGCUUUUUGGUCUGUAACUGACGCUGAGGCGCGAAAGCGUGGGGAGCAAACAGGAUUAGAUACCCUGGUAGUCCACGCCGUAAACGAUGAGUGCUAAGUGUUAGAGGGUUUCCGCCCUUUAGUGCUGCAGCUAACGCAUUAAGCACUCCGCCUGGGGAGUACGGUCGCAAGACUGAAACUCAAAGGAAUUGACGG